rnacentral:tRNA from 1 species
GUAAAAAGGUUUCUAACUUUUUUAA